rnacentral:rRNA from 1 species
CGAGGGGGCCGCAGUGAAAAGGCCCAAGCGACUGUUUAGCAAAAACACAGGUCUGUGCGAAGCCGCAAGGCGAAGUAUACGGGCUGACGCCUGCCCGGUGCUGGAAGGUUAAGGGGAGUGGUAAGCCCUUCGGGGCGAAGCUAUGAACCGAAGCCCCAGUAAACGGCGGCCGUAACUAUAACGGUCCUAAGGUAGCGAAAUUCCUUGUCAGGUAAAUUCUGACCCGCACGAAUGGCGUAACGACUUGGGCGCUGUCUCAACGAGAGAUCCGGUGAAAUUUUAAUACCUGUGAAGAUGCAGGUUACCCGCGACAAGACGGAAAGACCCCAUGGAGCUUUACUGCAGCUUGAUAUUGAAUUUGGGUACGAUCUGUACAGGAUAGGUGGGAGCCGUUGAACUUUGAGCGCCAGCUUGAAGGGAGGCAUCCUUGGGAUACCACCCUGAUCGUAUCUAGGUUCUAACUUGGUACCGUAAUCCGGUACGAGGACAGUGUCAGGUGGGCAGUUUGACUGGGGCGGUCGCCUCCUAAAGAGUAACGGAGGCGCCCCAAGGUUCCCUCAGAAUGGUUGGAAAUCAUUCGAAGAGUGCAAAGGCAGAAGGGAGCUUGA